AAGGGGAGCUUAGAUGGCUUAAAGACCUAAAUAUAAAUUGUAAAAAUAUAAUGUCAAUAAAAAUUAAUAUAGCAAAGUAUCUUUGGGACCUCAAGAACCCAAACAGGAGGUAAAAAAUGGAUGGAACGCAUUAUUUAAGGAUGGGGAGGUUUGGGCUGACAAAUGGCUCCUGCCAUAAAACACUGUAAAGGGCGAAGAAAUCCAGGAACUGUGGGAUAGGAUGGUUGCUUCUACAGAGAUGGGUUCAUAAAGAAAGAGAUCAUUGAGGCUCAAAGGAUUAAAUUCUCAGCUCAAGGCAAUGCUUAGGUUGUUGCCAAAAGAAUCUUUUCUGUCUUACUAGCUUUAAGGCUGAAAUAACUGAAAACAAGGUCAUACUUAAUCCUACUCGUUGCCAACUUACACGAGGAGUUGCACUCACAGCUUCACCAGACCUUGUACUUUAGAGUAUUGAUCAGAAACAGGAGGACCUUGAUUUGGAAUAGGGAUCUAUGGGUAGGGGGAUUUGGAAGACAUGUGAUACCCUAAGCUACUGUGAACAACCCAGGUUUGAAUACUGUAAGUUCUGUGUCCCAGGAAACCCCUCAACCCCUAGGCAAAGUGUAAGAAUUGACGUCCUCCCUUGCUAAUCAACGUGGGAGCUCUUCCUGCCUAACGACGUUAUUACUGCCUUGCUUGAAGAUUUUGUGAUCGCCUCAGUUUACCUUCUGCUCUUCCCACAUUACUUCUCAUGACCUGCACAUUCUUAAUAUCAGAUUCCAGAGAGGAGCUGUGUUGGAUACAGUAGAAAGGGAAACCCAGGAGAAGAAGAUUCCCACCAAAAGAAUUCUUGACUUUGCUUAUUUAUAUUGGCAAAACCCCAAGAGUAAAUAUGGGAUUCUGAAAAUGUACUGAGAAAGGAGAAGUGCGCUUUUGGAUUGGAUAGAAUUGACUGAUAGGGAUGUACUUGCCACAGAUUUUGGAUUUGGUGUGCUGCCUUGAGCAGCUGAAAGUCAUUCUACUUGGUUCAGUUAGUUGACUGAAAUAUGGACUUAAUGAUGAAAUUAAAUGAAACUGAGAAUGCAAAUAUUUCCUGAAAUAAUAUAAAGGAAUUCAAAGAUUUCAAUGA